rnacentral:misc_RNA from 1 species
GAAAUGCGAUAAGUAAUGUGAAUUGCAGAAUUCAGUGAAUCAUCGAAUCUUUGAACGCACCUUGCGCCUCUUGGUAUUCCGAGAGGCAUGCCUGUUUGAGUGUCAUUAAAUUCUCAACCUCAAAAGCUUUUGUUUCUGAGGCUUGGAUGUGGAGGCUUUGCUGGCUUGUUCAGAGUCAGCUCCUCUUAAAUGCAUUAGUGGAAACUGUUUGCUAGUCCGCAUUAGUGUGAUAAUUAUCAGCGCUGUUGUGGCUGCAAGCUCAUAGUAGUGUUCGUUUGGGAAGUGCAUCAAUAGUGCUCUUUCUGUUCUACUUGACCUACACUUGAGUAUAGUAUCUGCUUCAAACUGUCCUAAGAUAACUGGACAACACUUGAUUAUUUUGACCUCAAAUCAGGUAGGACUACCCGCUGAACUUAA